rnacentral:rRNA from 1 species
GACGAACGCUGGCGGCGUGCUUAACACAUGCAAGUCGAACGAAGAGCGAUGGAAGCUUGCUUCUAUCAAUCUUAGUGGCGAACGGGUGAGUAACGCGUAAUCAACCUGCCCUUCAGAGGGGGACAACAGUUGGAAACGACUGCUAAUGCCGCAUACGAUCUGACCUCGGCAUCGAGGAUGGAUGAAAGGUGGCCUCUAUUUAUAAGCUAUCACUGAAGGAGGGGAUUGCGUCUGAUUAGCUAGUUGGAGGGGUAACGGCCCACCAAGGCGAUGAUCAGUAGCCGGUCUGAGAGGAUGAACGGCCACAUUGGGACUGAGACACGGCCCAGACUCCUACGGGAGGCAGCAGUGGGGAAUCUUCCGCAAUGGACGAAAGUCUGACGGAGCAACGCCGCGUGAGUGAUGACGGCCUUCGGGUUGUAAAGCUCUGUUAAUCGGGACGAAAGGCCUUCUUGCGAAUAGUUAGAAGGAUUGACGGUACCGGAAUAGAAAGCCACGGCUAACUACGUG